UUCUCCGCCCCUUCUAUUCUUCCAGCAACUGGAAAGAAUUGCUCUGUCUCAUCUUCCUUCUCAAGUCCCGCCCUUUUAACUACUCCCUCAGGACGGUAAUCGUAACCCAAAAAGAACCGGCAAAAGCGCCGACGUGGAGUUCAGAGGAGCGGAAGUAGUCAGAUUUCACUAAGCCGUAAGGCGCGACUGGCUCUUUCAUUUUCCGGCUAGCGACAACAGCUCGGACUGUCAGUGCCGGCCUUCCUCGUGUAAGGGUAUCUGCCGGACACUUCUUAAUUCAAUUUCUUUCCCAAUCCGGGCCCUUCCCUAUCGUCGCCCCCUUCACCUUGGAUCAUGUUCAAGAAAUUUGAUGAAAAAGAAAAUGUGUCCAACUGCAUCCAGUUGAAAACCUCAGUUAUUAAGGGUAUUAAGAACCAAUUGAUAGAGCAAUUUCCAGGUAUUGAACCAUGGCUUAAUCAAAUCAUGCCUAAGAAAGAUCCUGUCAAAAUAGUACGAUGCCAUGAACAUAUAGAAAUCCUUACAGUAAAUGGAGAGUUACUAUUUUUUAGACAGAGAGAAGGCCCUUUUUAUCCAACCCUAAGAUUACUUCACAAAUAUCCUUUUAUCCUGCCACACCAGCAGGUUGAUAAAGGAGCCAUCAAAUUUGUACUCAGUGGAGCAAAUAUCAUGUGUCCAGGCUUAACUUCUCCUGGAGCUAAGCUUUACCCUGCUGCGGUAGAUACGAUCGUUGCAAUAAUGGCAGAAGGAAAACAGCAUGCUCUGUGUGUUGGAGUCAUGAAGAUGUCUGCAGAAGAUAUGUAAGUCUCACUUUAGACCCUCUUAGCUUUUCAGCUAACCUACCCAGGAAGCAUCAGAAUUACAGUGAGAAGGUCAACAAAGGAAUUGGCAUUGAAAAUAUCCAUUAUUUAAAUGAUGGGCUGUGGCAUAUGAAAACAUAUAAAUGAGCCUCAGAAGGAAUGCACUUGGGCUAAACAUGGAUAUUGUGCUGUACUUCUGUGUUUGUGUCUUGUAUGACGGCAUGAAGACAAUGUCUCUGGUUAUGCUGAAUAAAUUCAACAGAUACUAAAAUGCUGUUAGCUUCAAAAAUUAUUUUAGUUUUUCUUAAAACUCAAGUUAAAAUUGGGUAGCAAACUUGGAGAGAAAAAGGUACCUGGUAAGUAACCAAACUCAGACAACUUAACAUCCUUUCUUAGGCUAAUGAUGCAAGAUUAAGGGUUGGACUUGAUAAUUGUAAUUGCCAGUUUAUGGGUGACCCCUAGAGAAUCUGACUAGUUAAUGGGGCUUGAAGCUAGACUGGGAAUUUUAUCCCAUUACCCCAGGGCACCCAGCAGUGCUCCUUCUCUUUUGUUUUGUUUUUUUAACUUUUCACUACGGGAAAUACACGAAAGUAUAGGGAAUAGUAUAAUGGACCCUUCUGUAUCCAUUACCCAGGUUCAAUUUAUAGCCAAUCUUAUUUCAUCUAUACCCUACCCUCUAAUUAUUUUGAAGCAAAUCCUAGACAUAUUAUUUCAUCUGUAACUAAUAUGUAUCUUUAAAAUAUAGGUGGUCUUUUUUUUAAACAGAACAUAACCAAAAUACUAUUAUAACACCUAAAAAAGCUUAGCAAUUUCUUAAUAUCAAAUAAUCUGCUCAGUGUUGAAAUUCCCUUCAUUCUCUUUUUAUCUUUUUUUAACCAUUGAUUUGCUUGAAUAGGUACUAUACAAGGUCCACACAUUGCAUUUGGUUGUUACUAAUUUUAAAUCUUUUAAUCCAUAAGUUCUCCCUUUCUCUCCCCCCCCUUAAAAUUAAUUAUUUAAGAAAUCUGUUGUCUUGUAGAAUUUCCCCACAUAUUCUGGAUUUUGUUGAUUGCAUCACUGUGAAGUCAUUUGUUUCUAUGCCCCCUAUAUAUCCUGUAAACUGGUAGGUAUGAUCGAAUUCAGGUUCAAUUUUUUUAGUGCCCUCUCUUGAAGCUGGGUAAAAUCAGACCACACAGAUGUCCAGAACCUCCAGAUUUGGGGCUCCACUGCAUCCCCUGAAGAAUGUGUAUCUCUUUUAAGUGGAGGAUGAGGGUCACAGACUUAAACUUUAAUAAGACUAGUAAGCUGUUUGGGGAAUUGAAAAAGCAGAUGUGAAAUUAUUUAGUGAUAAAAGCCUUUCUUCGUAAUAACCUUGAUGUUACUCUAGUGCCUCAGCCAUCUUCAUUUGGUUGGUUACAAAUAUAUGGCAUGUGAUUUUAUUUUUCAGAUGGAUACAGACAUUUACAAGAUUGUGGUGACCUGUGUUACAGUUAGAAGUUGGUGAGAAAGGUGAGGGUGGAUUUUAAAAAAGGAAAGAGACCAUUUGUCUGGCUGUUCCAGCUGGGCCUCCCAGUAUAUAAUAUAGGUGAAGGUUACAUAUCCAGGUUACAUAUCCUCAGAUUGAGAAACCACUUCCCACUAACACAACUUGUAAGACUUGGCAGUUUCCAAGUUAGAAUGUAAAUGUAUUAAUUUAUAGAGGUAGAUUUACCUAGGGUAAACAAUUAGUAAACAGGAAGCUUCUUGGUGAACAUGGAUCACAGCAAAGGAAGGUUUAUAAUUUGGGCGGACUAUUUCUUUUGGGCUAGGGUAAGGCUUGGAGAAUUUUUCUUGUUUCAUCAUUAAUUAGAAUUCUUAUGUCUGCCAAAAUCUGGUCUUUCCUGACCAGUAGAGGCACACUGAUGUCUUACUUCCUUUUCAAGUUCCAUGUAGAAUAUUUUCCUUUUGUUGUGAGUUAUAUUCUAUAACUGACUAUUGUUAUGUUUUAUUAUAUAUUCCUGGUGGAUAAAAGGGUAAAUAAUCUCAUCAGUAAAACAUUUAUAAAUCAUCUCUCUGGGUAGGUUUCUUUUAACAGGUAGUCUCAUUUUAUGCUGACUUAAUCGCUUCAAAUUCAGAUGCUCCUCCCACUUGGGGAAGAAGGCACCCUAUUUGAGGCUUAUAGCUCCUUAUAUUCUUGAAAAGAGAAUUUGCAAGUUAUUUAUGUCAACCAAACUGAACCUUUAUCUUUGAUGCUAAGGUAAUGUUAAUUGACCAAGAUUGCCUAUGGAGUAUUAGCAAAAGCGCGCGCACAUACACUCUCACUCGCGCGCGCACACAUGCACACACGCACACACACACACACACACACACAAUUAGAGAAGUUAAAAUCUCUAAUAGCCUGGUUUCUGAAAUAAUUUAUCCUUGUAUCUAACCACUAUUACAGUAUAGGUAACGCCUGUACUGUAUUCAGUAUAUUCAACAUCAACAUCUGUGUUUGUUUUUCUACUAUGCUGAGGUACAUUGACUGUGUUGCCCUGGUGAUAUGGACUAAAUAUGUAUGUUCCCUGCUUCUCCUGGGUCUGAGGUCUCAGUUCAUUGGUGUUAAUCAGGGAUGUCACUCUACAUAUGCUUUCCUUGUUAGUUUCUAUACAUUAAAUCUUGUAUGACGUCAGUUCAGAGAGGUUAAACUAGCAGAUAAAUCAGCCUCUUUAGGCACCAUGCUUGAAGGAAACUUUUAGUUUACCCACAUUCCUGAGAGUAGGAACAAGGGAGAGCUUGUUUUCUCUUUGGCAAUGUGUCUCCAGUUCAUUUUUAGUUUCAAAAUUAAUUUUGUGUCAAGAACCAAUCUACAGUCCAGCCAUUCCUGUUUAUCUGAUUCAGUAUUACUCAGCCAAGGUCAGUUCAGCUUAAUGGAUAUUUAUUGAGUGUCUGUUAGGUUCUAGGUGAUGUGGCACAAAGAUGAAUAAUACACAAGUAGCCCUUGCCCUUAAGGAGCUUCCAGUCUAGUGAGUAAAGAAAACUUAAAUCUGGGUAAUGGUGACAUUUCAAUACCAUUUACAAAGUCAGUAGGAAUUUCCUAAUACUUCUCCAAUUUUGUUCAUCAAAAUUUGCAAAUUACACAUGAUCCAAAUAUAAAAAUAUUCCUUAGAUUGUAUCCAAUGUGAGAAGGUUUUAAAAAAAAAAAUCCAGAUGUGUUGGAGUUGCAAUGAUUCACGUUUUCAACUUAGAUGGUUCUCCAUUUGUCCUAUAGUAUUAAGGCCUGGUCAGUCCUCUUCUAGCCAACUGAAUAUAGUGGUUUGGUGGUGGUCUGUUGGCAACUGCAUUUUUUUUUUAAUGUUCUGGACUCCAAAAAAAAUCAGCUGGAUUUAUCCUAUGGGUACUCAUGACCACUUCCAAUUUGAAGGAUUUGAUAUUCCCCAAACAGAAGAUCAUAUGGCAUUUGUCAAAUAAUGAUUAUAUCUAGCCAAGUUCCCCCUCUGUAUACAAAUCAGCAACACCUGAGGAUACAUUAUUUCUAAGCAUAGUACUUCAGAAGAAGACAUAAGAAUGAAGAUUCACUAAAUUUACAGAGGUAUUUCAUUACAAUAAAUAUUUCAGUUUUUUGCUGUGAGAAUAUUAAUGAUAUAGCAAUUAUAUAUUAAUAGAAAUAUUAAAUGAAUUUAUACCCAAACAAAAUGGGGUAAAUAUUUUAACUUUCUUUACUUAGGUUCCUUAAUGUUUGAGAAUGUAUCUUUCAAGGCUCUUCAGGAAACUCAAAAUAAUUCCAAUUUCUAAAUGAGUAUCCACUAAAACUGAUUUAUAAUGAGAGAAAAAAAUGAAAAUGUAUGCAUCCUAUGCCUAUAUAACCAUAAUUUCUGAGAUCACAAACAUAUUCAAGUACCUAUAAGAAUUGGGCCAUUUAAAAUAUAUCUUAAAAGUUUUUCAAAAAACUUUUAUUAAGGCAGUGAAGAUUAGACUAAAUCUAAUUGUACUCUUUUAUCAGUCUCUCAGUAGUAGUUCCUAAAGAAAUCGUACCUGUCAACCUGGAGACUGAUGCGUAUAAAUGUACACUCUCUUUUAAUUUUUACAGGUGACAGGUAAAAGAAUGAGUAGAAAUUACCAACUAUAAAUAACAAUAAUUUGUUUAAUUUUAUAUUAAAACCAAUUAAGUACUAGUAAAGGACCACAGCUCCAUCAGAUCAGGAAAGAAUAAACAAAAUUGAGGACCAACUUUUAAAUCAAUGUUGAGACUAUUAGGCAGUUUUGUUUGUUUAAGAGGAUAGCCAUUUAGAGAAUAUGAUUUGUGCAUGGAAAGAGAUGUGGGAGAUGAUUCACUGAAAUUUCUCCUAAUACCAUAUUCAUUAAGAAUAGGUCAUGGGGAAGGAAACAAAAACAUCCAAACUGAUUAGUACAAUUAAUUUUUGCCUCUUGGUGUGAAAAUUAAAGAACACCAAAUUUCAUCCUUGACCACUCUUGAGAAAUAAAAUAUCAAUUAGUAAAACAACUUUUAUUUAAAAUAUAUGUGUUAUAGAAAAUGACAUGCCUCACUAUAUCCAAUUCUAAUUAAAUGGAUUGUCUUAGAAAUUAAUGUGUUUGUGAAAUAUAGCAAACAUGGAUAGUAUAACAAAUGAAAACUGAUGUUCCAAAUGACUAAGACGACUUGGAUUAGAGAAAGGAAAAGGUGUAUAAACGUCAGAAACAGUGAUGAAAAAUUGAGCCACAGACAUCAGUCUUAUAUGGAAUACUGUAAUUCAGUAGUCUGUGAUGUCCAAAAUAUAGCAGACAUCCAAUAUUAACACAUACUUAACUGGUCUUGGAGCCCUGGUGGUGUAGUGGUUAGGAGCUCUGCUGCUAACCAAAAGGUUGGCAGUGUGAAUCCACCAGCCACUCCU